GGUGGAUGAUGCGUGAUCACUCGUUUCCCCCUCUUUAAGGUUAUGGUGUUCUCCGAAGAAAUAAGUCUUUUUCUUGCAUGGUUUUUGGAACCUUGUGAUAUGUACGUACUUUCUGAGAUGAUUAACUUGCUCCCAUAAUGUUGACUUUUGGGGUCUUUGAAGGUUGACCAUCUCCUUGAGUUGGCAUUAGGAACAAAAAUCACAAGACAAUUUUUGUCUUGUGAAAGUUAUGCAAACAGAUUUAUGCUUCAUAAGACUAUUUUGUUUCUCCUAUGAUCUUCCGUGGCAUAUGGCAUGCACAUCAAAGCUACCAAAGAAACGUCAUGGUUGUGAGUUAAUUUGGCUGUUCUUUCUCUCCGGAUUCUUUGAAUACCUCAUGCCACAAGAGAAGAAACAGGUGUUGUGUUCUUCAUGUCCAUCGAGAUCAGGUGGUGCACAGAAAAUGCUUAGAGCAAAAACAAUGAAUAGGAGAGUUUUUGCAGGUCAACUGGAGGAUGAGCCAGGGUCUGGUAUCCCAUACCAGCGUUCGAGCUCGACACCAUCCAAGAGCUCACUCCAAGACCACCCAUCAUGGCCCAUCGGAUCUCCCGGAAGCCUCUCACCCACAGCUGCCGUCGGCGUCGACGCCAGAGAGCCCGAAGGACUUUGGAUUCCGCUACCGCCGCUGCUGUUGGCUUUGCAUCUACCACCACUGCUGCUGCUGCUGCUGUCGAUGACAUCGUCGACUCUCACGCCGGUGAUGAGGAACCGCUGGUGCGAUGACCCACAGGGCUUGGCUGCAUGCAUCGUCGCGUCGCACUGCCGGCACAGCAACGCCCGGUCCUCCAAGCAGAAGAAAAACCCAGCUUUCUCCUGCAGAAGAUCAUUACGGUAUGGCAUGACAUUACAUUUCUUCGGCAAAGCUAAUCGAUGCAAGCAUAUUAUUUUGUUUUCUAACACUCUGUGACAGGAAAUUGCUUUUGGCCUAAACAAAGCGGAGAGCUUUCUCUCAUUCCCCAGUGAAGAAGGUAAGAAGAAUAAAUGCUGCGCACUGCCCUCUGUUCUAUAAUUAUGAGAAAGUGGAGAUCUGAUGGGGAGUGCAAAAAAAAAAAAAAAAAAAAAAUAAAUAAAUAAAUCGAUUGAGACAGCGAGAAUUUAAAUGCCAAUUUUGGUUCAAGAAAGAUGGAUGGCUACCUGCUGCCUAAUCCAAACAAAAUAAAAAAAUAUGAACUCUAUUGAAUUAAAGAGUCUUUUAGGCUUUUUAAAUUUUAAUAAUAAUAUUAUUAUUAUAAUGAUUAUGAUUAAUUAUUAUAAUUAACCAGAGAUUAUUGAUUGGAUGGAUGCUAAAGAGGCAUUUGAACAAUCGAAAGGUUAUAUCCUAAAGGCAUUUGGAAUAUGUUACAAGUCAAAAGGAAACGUCUUAUAUUGGAAAGAAGUAUUAUUACACAUAUGACUGACUACAGCAGAAAUAAAAAUAAAACACAAAAAGAGAAGAGCAGAGCAGAGCAGAAAAAGG